UUUCUGUUCUGAAACAGAUAUCGAAAAACAAAAACGAGUGGUUAUUUGAUUUUUGUUUUAAAAUACAAAAAUUAAAAUUGAAAUACAAGGCGUUUUUCCUUUUCAUGAUCAAAAAGGGAUAUACGAUUUUUUUUUUAAAAAUGCUUUGAUUUUCGUUUUAUAUUUAGAAUAACAUGAAAGUAAAAUCAGUAAGAGACAGAAACGAAAAAAAGGUCCGUUUUUUCAUUUUCUGAGACCGGAAGUGGCCAUCAGCAAGUGUGGAGCCAAACAGAGUACGGUGCAUAGACUGUACAGACAUUUUUUUUUCGUGAGUUUUCAUUGUCAAAAUGAGAGAUCAGGUGGCCGAUCUUAAAAUAAAUCAAUAUUGAUUUUUUUUUAUAGAGCGUUAAAGUUUUGCGAAGCCAGGGGGCGGGACUACUUGAUUGACAGUCCGGUCUGGAAUGACUGACAGGUCCUAUGGAGGAGGCAGCAGAGACUCUGCUCUCCUCGUUUGGAUUAAUUCUGAUAUAAUAACUGCUGGUUUAUUUAUCGGUGGAGCAGCAGAACAUUUUCCACAGACAGUUUUCCUGCCCGUUGGCUUGUUUUAACCAGUUUUCUACCUUCGGCUGAUUCUACCAGCAGACACUGAAAGGACUCUGAUAGUUCGGUAAGUAAAUGUUUAUUUUCGUAUCGGUGCCGCUUUUAAUGCACUUUAUAUGCAGCUUUAGUGUCAGAUGUAAUGUGUGCCAUGCACUCCAGAUGUUGGUGGAGUUUGUUUCAGUGUGUGUUGACCAGAGAAGAAAGUUAGCAUAGUAAAUAAUAGCUUUGAUGUUAGCGAUGCUAACCGAGCUAGCUGCUCAGUCGUAGCCUGAUUAAAGCUAACGUAGCAUCAAGCUAAUGUGUUGAGUUUCAUGUAAACAGCUGAAGUGUGUUGUGUUCCUGUAAUGUGGUUCAUUAAGUUCAUAAAACUGGCUGGUUGACAUUAAUGUAACGUUCAGGAAAUUUAAAUGUGAUUAAAACAGUAACAUUAAUGUUCUAGUUGUCAGUAGUCAGCUUUAAAUUGACACUAAAACACACUGAUAGUUUUAAAUGACAUCAGUUUCAUUAAUUUGUUGAAAAUUGUCUCAUUUGUUGUUGUGAUGUUGCUGCUGAUUCAUUAAAAGCAGAUGAUCCAUGUUGAAGAUAUGUUUAGUUCUAGUAUCAGAAGUACAAGAAGGAAAAUGGAAGUUUAGUUCUGCUACAUCAAAGAGUUCAGGAUUAAAAUAACUAAAUGAGUCUUUAUGCCUCAAACUUUAUUUUUACAAUAAAGAAAUAAUGAAAUAAUCACAGAUAAUAAAAAUAUAAAUAGCAGAGAAAACCUGAGAGAAUAAUUUCCUGAAAAGUCUGUGAAGGAAAAGCAGCUUUUUUAUCCUGAAAGAUCAGAAUCAGCUCCAACAUCUGCAUCUGACAGCAACAAGUCAACCAGUAGGAAAGAAAAAAGAAAAUGACUUCUUUCUGAUCACAUCUGUUCCGCUGCUCACAGUCUGCUGCUGCUCACAUUCUUCACAUUUAUAGUCCACUUUUAAAAGUUCAGCAGACAGGUGCUCUGCUUUGGAGUGUGACGAUGUCGUCAGUGAUGUGGAGAGUGAAGUUUCCGUUUCACCCACAGCGUGCUUUAGGGCAACCGGGUUGGACUUGAUGUUUGAAAUACUGACCGACAGCUCAGAUUUAACUGUCUGUAGUUCGGUUUUGAUGGGUGUUAAACUUUCACUCAAAGCCGCCAGGAGCUGGGUCUUUAAAAUAACCGCCGUCUCGUCACAGAGUGAAAGUAGCAGCAUCCGAGGGCCUCUUCAAAAGAAGACGUAGUUGAUGAAGGCGUUGUGGAACAGGACCAGAAAGACCACGAGCAAGCAGCCUUAGGCAGCGUCUCCCUCGGGUCCCUCUCUAUCUCCCGACACAUCCACCAACCACUGGAACACAUCUCCAAAGUUCUGCCGGGCCAGCUCAGCUUCCCCUCAGAAGAAGUUCCGCCAGAUGAAGGAGCCUUUUGAGAGGCAGCUGGCAUCGUGAUUGGACUGUACUUUGGUCUGUUCCAAUCCAGCUUCAGCUCCAGAGACAGCAGGCGGGACGAGUCAACGGAGGCCGGGUGGACGAAGGCAUGCAGCUGAGUACAAUCCAGAAAACAACAGAGGAGGACCAGAACAAACAGAGUAGCAUCGUAUGUCUCUUAGAAAACAUCAUAGUAUAGCCUUUGGUACGAAAAAACGCCAUCAUUUACUGAUUUAUUGAUUAUCAGUAUUUUAUUUUUUACUGAAUUACGGUAAUAAAUACACUUAAAAAUGGCGCUACUUUGGCUCUGAACCUUUAUCUACCUGUGGUCGCUCUGUCUUCUGGAGUGAUUUGAUUGGUUAUACGUCACGAAUAAAACUCCUUUAACAUCUGUAAACAAAACAAAAACGUAUCAACAAAGUUUUCUGUUAGAGUUUGUGUUCUUCUAAGUUUAACUCCAAGAUUUUAAAUACUUUCAUUUACUGCAAAUGAAUAUCUACUCCAAAUGUCUCACUAAUAAUCAUUAUCAGCCUUAAAAACCCACAAAACACCCCUCUAUAGUCGACCACACUUAGUACAGUCCGGUUCCCCCUUCUAUAAAUCUGCUUGGAAUCGUCCACUUCCUGUUUGUCAAAGUGGCCUUCUACCUGGACAGGUUUUGUUGGAGCUCAUGCAACAAACAUUUUGGGUAACUGCACUUUAAUAUGGAUGGAUGACACUGAAUUAGAGUCUGUUUUAAUGAGACUGAGUUAAGAUGUGUAGCUGUCAUUAAAUAGGAAAUUAUUUCUCAGAAUUCACAGACAAAAGUCUGAAAUGUUUGCUAGGUUAGCGUCCCACAUGUUCUUUGGCUCAGCUAAAGCUAACUCUCUCCAACUUCUGGAUCUCUUGAGUUGCUUGUUAUUAAAAUAUCUUGCUGUAGGUGCUGAAGCUCAGAAAGUCUGAGAUGUUUGUUCAAUAUAAGCUCAUUCUCAAGUCUUAUCUGAACUGUCCUCUUUUGUUUGAACUUUCCCUAAACUUAGGAGUUAAUGACAGAGCAGCACAUCCAGACUCAGUCUCAUUUAUGUAGAGAUUAAACUUCAGUGUCAUUCAUUGAUGUUAAAGUGCAGUUUUUCAAAUGUUUGUUGCACAUGCUCCCGACCAAACCAGGCCAGGUGGAAGACGAUGUGAAGAGAAAGCUCCAGAGGAUGAAUAUCACACAUUUACGUUGGAAAUAAAUGUCCUUUAAUUAGA